rnacentral:tRNA from 1 species
CAAAUUAGAGCUUGACAAAAGCAUUUUAUUUACAUUAAAAAGUUAAUUGUGAAAUUCAAUUUAAUUUGA